AGUGAACGCUGGCGGUAGGCCUAACACAUGCAAGUCGAACGGCAGCACAGUAAGAGCUUGCUCUUACGGGUGGCGAGUGGCGGACGGGUGAGGAAUACAUCGGAAUCUACUUUUUCGUGGGGGAUAACGUAGGGAAACUUACGCUAAUACCGCAUACGACCUACGGGUGAAAGCAGGGGAUCUUCGGACCUUGCGCGAUUGAAUGAGCCGAUGUCGGGUUAGCUAGUUGGCGGGGUAAAGGCCCACCAAGGCGACGAUCCGUAGCUGGUCUGAGAGGAUGACCAGCCGCACUGGAGCUGAAACACGGUCCAGGGUCCUAAGGGAGGCAGCAGUGGGGAAGAUGGGACAAUGGGCGCAAGCCUGAUCCAGCCAUACCGCGUGGGUGAAGAAGGCCUUCGGGUUGUAAAGCCCUUUUGUUGGGAGAGAAAAGCAGCAGGUUAAUACCCCGCUGUUCUGACGGUACCCAAAGAAUAAGCACCGGCUAACUUCGUG
rnacentral:rRNA from 1 species